AUAAACAUGAUUCAUUCCAAUGUAGUGUUCAUUAUGGCAAAUAAAGGACCUAUGGGAAAGAACCAGAAAAUGAUAUAAAAAAAUAAAUAAAAAAAGAUAAAUAAAUAAAAAUAGGCACAUUUGCACUACUACAAUUUAGAUAACACAACAAGUAUAUACAGUACCCUCCCGAGUUUUGCAUUGUUUUGACAAGUAUAGGUCACAUUUACCCAUUAUCAGCAUCACGCGUAUACAUACAAUAAACCUCCCAUAAAUCUGAGCUCUCUCUCUCUCUCUCUCUCUCUCUGAAAGUAAGAACAAUCAUAAGGAUUGCUAAAUAAAAUGAGACUGAGAAUGAAAAUGGAAUUAUGCAUACGAGAGAAAGUGAGAAAGGAUUAAGCAAAAAUGGCAUAAAAUGAAUGAGAGAGAGAGAGAGAGAGAGAGAGAGAGAGAGAGAGAGAGAGAGAGAGAGAGAGAGAGAGAGAGAGAGAGAGAGAGAGAGAGAGAGAGAGAGAGAGAGAGAGAGAGAGAGAGAGAGAGAGAGAGAGAGAGAGUAAGGUAUCAUUCCCUAAUCCCUUAUCUCCUACAGAUAAGGGUGAGGGGAGGUGACUGAGAGGGGGGUUUGAGACAAGAUGAAAGAAGGGACAGGUGGUGGAUAUGUGAGCAGCAGCUCACAGCUGCACACCACAGAAAUAAUGGCAGCACACACUUUGAAAAUCACUGGGAUAAGGAGUGGUUGGGAAGCUACUCUCAUCCCCUUCCACUGAGGCAGCAGUCUGAAGAUGCUGAAUGUUCUGGUCAUCCAUCAACCAACAGAAUAAGGAAAAUAUUGGAGAGUGCAUUAAACUAUCAAGAAGGAUUGCCAGUGGAUGUAGCAUCACUGGCUUGUUGUUCAGGUCAUACCACAGGAUUCUCCAUGAGGAACUUAGCAUGAAAUGGACUGCUGCCAGAUCUGUGCCCCAUCUGGUGACAAGACCUGCCCACUGACUGUCUGCUGAGAUCUCUAGGAACUCUAAUGUAAUCAAGGCCUCCUUUCCAAGAUCAUUACUGAUAAUGAAAGCUGGGCUUACAACUAUGACCUAGAAACCAAGCAGCAGUCAUUCCAGUGAAACAGUCCAAGCUCACCCUCACUGGAGAAAGUGAGGUGGGUUGAAAUCAAUUAAAUGGUCAAUGUCAUGAUUUGGCCAAUCUGUUCCUUUCACAUGGAGAGAAUUGUUCACAUGAAGUUUCUCCUACCACUUUUAUACUGAGAUCCUGAGGUCCUGUAAUGUUUAAAGACCACUGAGAUGCUGGUCCCUGAAUAAGGGAAUGUGAGUGAGAAACAUGCUGACAACUGGUAUGGACAAAACUAACUUCUGCAUCACAACAAUGUGCCAUCCCACAAUGCUCUAUCUGUUCAGCAGUUCUCAGCUAAAAUCCAUAUGGCAGUAGUUUUCCACUAUCUACUUCCCCCAACCUAGCCUACUGAAACUGGAGAUUUGAGUGAAGGACAAUGUCCAGAUUUAAGAAGAAAUGUGGAACAAGCUGAAAUGUAUCCCCCGGAGUUCCAAAAGGUAUCGCUCUCAAGUGACUGUGAUGCGAGAUUAAUACUGGGUCAACUCCUCAGAGGAUAAUACCUCAGUUAAUAAUAUUACCACUUCCACUUCAGAGGUUGGUUAAUUGCAGUUGUGAAGAUAUGUUCCCCCCAGAGCAAGACAGAAGUGAGGGGGUGUUUGUAUCCUCAAAACUGUUUGCAUCCACACUUGUACAGUAAAAUCCCUCUCAUCCGGCAUUCGAGUAUCCGGCAGCUUCAAGUAUCCGGCACAUUUUUCCCCAAGCCUUAAAAUCAAUAAAAAAUCAAUGUGUACUCAUAAAAUCGAAUAAAAUUCCCACGCGAGGCAUACUUUGUCCCCUCGCCACCAGAGCGCACUGCUUCGCACCACCCGCGGCCCACUGCACUGUCUUUACUCAGUGACUCAGUCCCGCGUGUGCACUGUUUAUUGCCUGACGCCUUCAUCAUGCCUAAAGUUGUAGAAAAGAGGAAGCGUGUUGUGCUUACACUUAAGCAGCUGAUCAGAUCAGCUGAUCUUUGUUAUGGUAAGAUGUGUGAGUGUAGGGUGGUGAUUGUGGACAUAAUUUCACUUCUAUUCAAGUAUCCGGCAUGUCGGCGGUCCUGUUGAUGCCGGAUAAGAGGGAUUUUACUGUACUCCUCAGACUGCCUACCUCGCUAGGCACUCUGCGUUUGUCCAUUUGUUUGUCUUUAUUACUAGAGAGACUGUUUUUCACAAUUAUAGCACUGUCAUAGUUAUCUAUAACAAAUGCUAUUCACUGGUUUUAGAAUUACAUGAAACUGCUUGCCACCUGUUCAUUAAGAUGAAAUUGGUGAGGUUGACUCAGAUGACAUUGUCACUGCUAUCCUCCCCAUAUAUUGUAGGUAUGUAGUAGACUUUUCUCUCUGGUUCUGUUUAGUGAUGUUUAGUUCAGUAAAAAUUAGCAGGGAUGUGGACACACCAGGUCUUUAGUGUUUCUGUGUAUUUACAAGAUUUACCCAUGGCCCUGUUCCAUGGCAAGACAACCAACCAGUGAGCCACACUCCCCAGUGCUGCCAACACACUCCUGCCCACAUUCACACCAACCGGCCUUGAGGGCGGCAAAAGUUGACAUAUUAUUAAGUAACAAGUUUAUUACUUUAAGAGAAAAGUUGCAAUUAGAGUAACAGUACUACUAAAUAGAUAAUGAAUAAUGUACAAUCUCUCUACAUCCUCCAAAUAUGAAUAUUAAAUAAACCAACUUAGCAUUCUCAUUCAAGUAAC